rnacentral:rRNA from 1 species
UACGUAGGGUGCAAGCGUUGUCCGGAAUUAUUGGGCGUAAAGAGCUCGUAGGCGGUCUGUUGCGUCGGCUGUGAAAACCCGGGGCUCAACUCCGGGCCUGCAGCCGAUACGGGCAGACUAGAGUUCGGCAGGGGAGACUGGAAUUCCUGGUGUAGCGGUGAAAUGCGCAGAUAUCAGGAGGAACACCGGUGGCGAAGGCGGGUCUCUGGGCCGAUAUCGACGCUGAGGAGCGAAAGCGUGGGGAGCGAACAGG